UUGACUUCGGAUCAGGUAGGAAUACCCGCUGAACUUAAGCAUAUCAAUAAGCGGAGGAAAAGAAACCAACAGGGAUUGCCCU
rnacentral:rRNA from 2 species